CAAGUCGAACGAAUCCCCGGGAGCUUGCUCUCGGGGGGAAGUGGCGAACGGGGCAGUAAGGCGUGGGUAACCUACCCCGGGGACCGGGAUAGCCACCCUAACGGGUGGGUAAUACCGGGCGAUGUGACUGGGGGGCAUCCCUCGGGCACGAAAUGAGUUUCGCCUCGGGAGGGGCUCACGUGGUAUUAGCUUGUUGGUGGGGUAACGGCCUACCAAGGCUGAGAUGCCUAGCAGGUGUGAGAGCACGACCUGCGCCACUGGCACUGCGACACUGGCCAGACUCCUACGGGAGGCUGCAGUCGAGGAUCUUCGGCAAUGGGCGCAAGCCUGACCGAGCGACGCCGCGUGUGCGAUGAAGGCCUUCGGGUUGUAAAGCACUGUCGAGGGGGAGGAAAGCCCGCAAGGGCCUGACCUACCCCUGGAGGAAGCACGGGCUAAGUUCGUGCCAGCAGCCGCGGUAAGACGAACCGUGCGAACGUUGUUCGGAUUCACUGGGCUUAAAGGGCGCGUAGGCGGGCGACCAAGUCGGGGGUGAAAUCUUUCGGCUCAACCGGAAGAGUGCCUUCGAUACUGGUCGCCUCGAGGGAGGUAGGGGCAUGCGGAACUUCCGGUGGAGCGGUGAAAUGCGUAGAUAUCGGAAGGAACGCCGGUGGCGAAAGCGGCGUGCUGGACCUCUUCUGACGCUGAGGCGCGAAAGCCAGGGGAGCGAACGGGAUUAGAUACCCCGGUAGUCCUGGCCCUAAACGAUGGGUACUAGGUAGUGGACUUGACAUGGGUUCACUGCCGAAAGCAAAAGUUUUUAAGUACCCCGCCCUGGGGAGUAUGGU
rnacentral:rRNA from 1 species